AAGAUAGCCCCCAGGAAAUGUGAACUACGAUGCCAAAAAUUCAAUAUGGCGUCUGUUAUAAGACUGGUGCGUCUAUAUGUUACUUAUGUUCGCUGAACGCAGCCAACUAUAUUUCUACAAUAAAUAUUUGAACGUUGUUUAACACUUCUUGUAAUUAAAGGAAUUUUUUUGUGUGUGGUCAUCGUCGCUCGCUCCAAACUACCAUAUAUACGGUGAAGCGUACGUUGCGUCAUAGAUUUUAAAAGAACGUCCCUCUAAGAUAUUUGAGCAUAGAUAUGGGGAGGACAUGUUGUGUUCCUGGAUGCAAGUCUGGGAAAGAAGUGCCUUCACAUCGAUUU
rnacentral:lncRNA from 1 species